rnacentral:misc_RNA from 1 species
UAAAGAUUUAAAUAUUUCAAUUUCAUUUCGAAAGAACAUAAUAAUCAAACAUUUCAACAAUUAAAAUACAAGCCUUUUCUUUAAAUAUAUCCAAUUGCUUGGCGGAUGCAAAAUUAGGAUCCUAAAGAACAAGAAAAGAUAACAGAUAUCUUUUAGGCAUCUUUAAGUAAAUAAGAACCAAAUAAUCGUACAAUCCAUCCUUAAUGUGAUAUGUUGCCCCACUGUUGACCGGCCGGUUGCUCGACCAAAAUCACCCAGCAUCAACCAACACUUCAGCAGCCUAAUAGCUUCCUCAAAACCGAAUAUUGUAUAAACCAAAACUCCUCAGAGCAAUUCAUUCAAUGCUCAUUCCACUAAACCAGGGGAAAUUUUGUUGUAGACUGAUUUUCAUGAGAUUGUGAAUGAGGCAAUCCGCUAUGAUGACUUUCUUUUCUUUCGUGAUUUCGGCUUUUUCUUUUUCAUAGAUUUCUUCUUUUCAGGACUUUCUUCAUUUAUCAAGUGCUCAUAAUCUUCUAUACUUGCAAAUGGCGAUGCACCAACCUUCCCACCAGACAUUCGUUUUCUUUUCCUGUUUUCGAAUUCAUCUUCUUCAUCGCUACCAUCAUCUACAUCCCCUAUGUUGACAGCUUCAACAUCGUCUUCACUGUUAUCUACAUCAGCAAUGCCAUCAGAAUCUUCUUCCACAGCAAUAUCCGAGAUGUCAUCCAUUUCCACAUCGCUUGCAUUUCCAAUCAAGUCAUCGUCCUCUUCAUUGACAACUUGGUCUAAAUCAUCGUAGUCAUAUUCACCAUCAGCAUCAAAAGAAAGAUUAGCAGAAUCCAACAUAUUCUCAAUCUCUUCAUUAUCACUCUCAUCAGCACCACCUACUUCAUCACCAUCACCCACAUCAAAAAGCUCUUCAGCAGCCUCCUCUUCAGCUAACUUCUUCUUUUUCUUCUUCUUUGGCUUUGUGCUGUUCAUUUUGUUCAUAUAGAACUUGUGAAAAACAAGAUCUUCAGGAGGCACAUCCACUUCAGCCAAUGACAGAAUCUCUGAUCCAAUUAGAUGAUUGUUCAUGUCAAGCUUCUUGGCUGGUUCAAUUUGGGAGCCACCAUGCCAUGCUGUCUGCUUAGGUUUCUUUUCCAUGAACUUGUCUAGAAAAGCACUAAGAGAUAGAUCAUUUAAUGGAUUACCAUUAUAAACUAUAUUGGCCCCAGAUAGAAGAGUCCUAGCCAUGGUAGCAACAGAUGGGUGCGCAUGAGAAGCAAGUACCAUGAGCUCCCACCAGCUUGCACGGUAUGCAUUACAGUAAGAUGGCUCUCUGUGCCGAGGAUUGUACCCUCCAGGGAGGGCACAACCUGUAGAGGAUAUUUGAGGCUGGUUACCAUUAUAAGUGGAUAGCGGUGGGGAUUCUUCAAAUUCUUUUGAACCAUCUUCUCCAAGUGGUUCUGCUUUAUCUGAAUCAUCAUCAUCAGAGCUAGGGACAGGAGAAUCAUGUUCGCCCUUUGAAGAAUCACUUGCUGUAUUGGACUUAUCACCACUCUGAACAGAUUCAAGAUCAUUUUCUGCUUCAGCUGCCAUGUGAGGUUCAUUAUCAGUUUCCUCCACUAUAUCUUCAAAAUGUUCAAGAUCUUCAUCAACCGACUCAUUCUGCAUUACCAUGUUCCAUAAAAGGGGCCUUGCUUUAAGAACUUCAGAGAGGAGAAAUAAGCAUCCACAGGCAUAUUGAGGUGGCUGUUGAAGGGAAACCUGUCCAAGAAUCUUCAUAGUCAAUGUCUGUUUUAAAGUGUAGCCUAUGGAAAAUUACAUGUCUCUAUACUUAAAGACAGAAUGCUCAAACUAAAAAAGGGUGACCAAGUGCACAA